rnacentral:lncRNA from 1 species
CCUCUGGAUGUCCCGGCCCUGGUGAGGUUCAACAUGGCAGCAGUGCUGUGAGUGAGGACCGCUCAUUUGUGGUCUUCAGCUGUGAUGAUGGCUUCAGGCUCUAUGGCAGUUCACUUCUCUACUGCAAGGGCAAGACCUGGAGCGACGCAAAACCUGUAUGCAAAGGUAAGUUGGUGGGCCCAGCUGUGUGGAGGCAUCUAACUGGAGAUUAAGUUGAAUUGUUGCCAUGCCUACCAGGUUUACUUUUGUAAGCGCACUGGCAACCUGUCCCUCGGCAACUGACAUUUUUAAAUGGGUUUUCAUUUUUAUUCCAGAGUCUGAUAUUAUGAGCUCUUUUAAACGGAAACCUGUAGUCUUGUCUAGUUCGCAUAAAGAGAAGAGCCUAAGAGCUCCAUCCAAUCUGAAAGACCAUUUCAAAUCUCACUACAACACUGCCUCUAAGGAUGCCUACCUCCAGCCUGGCCUGCUGGUUGCUUCCUUCCCCAAGUCCCACCUCUCUGGAGGACUGCUGGUGAAGCCCAAAAUGGCACCACUACAGAGGAAACCUGUGAAGAAGCAUUGGCUUCAGAAAGCUGCAGCACACAGUGAGUUGGCCCCUGAGGUCCACGAGAAUCUGGAAGCCACUGAGAAACUUGCCCGAUCUCAGGAGACGGUUACCACGGUUACCACUGCUGGUGUCACGACACCUGGCUCCAUUUCAGCCUCGUCCACAAUGAGACCUCCUGUGCUGACAACCACGGACACCAGGUUCACAGAAUACAAAAUGGAUGGCGAGGCACCUAAACCAGUGUUCCUUUCUGAUCCAACAAGGGCUGAUGUACAUCUGGAAAACAGAAGUAAAGAGAAGGAUCUCUCAUCUCCCACAGAAUCAGUCAUCAAAGGCCCACCAGAAUCCCACACCGUUGGAUACCCAUUUGAGGGUUCAAGAACUUCACAACAGACUGAAGUAUCUGAUCAGUUUCUGAAUACAAGAACAACAGUCAUACUCGGUACAUCAAUACCACAUCUGAAUUUGAAUGUUAUGUCUGUAACCAGUACCUCUGCUUAUCUAGAAUCUACCAUGGAUGAACAAAAUGAAUACCCCAAAAAUCGUCCUGUUUAUCCUUAUAGUCAGGACCGCAUAACUGGGGGAGUAAAUAAAAAGGCCAUUUCAGUGCAGAGUACCACAGAUCAUCCUCAUAUGCUGGACAGACAACAGACUCUUCCUGAAAACAAGCAAACUCCACUCAGUUUAGGUGACCAGCCACCUGUGCUGCUAAUUGCAGAGAAUUCUACAGAAAGCACCGAACACGAGGACCCAAAAGAGCUGUGGGAGACCCCAGUGGAAACCGAAAAGUCCUAUAAAGGGAACGAGGGAGUCACACAGGUUGCAGUGACCAGCGCUGAGAGCCAAGCUUCUCUGCUGCAUCCUGCCUCUGCAGGUGUUACGCCCUCUGUUCCUCCAACGGCCCCCGGGCCGACCCCAGGCCUACCCCCAUCCUCCUCACAGCCCGCCCCGAGCGGCAGCAGCACGACGCAGCCCGUCAGAUCCGUCCUCACUGAUCCAGAUGAUGAAGGGCUCAGAGUGCGGGGGCUUUCACCAGCAGAGGCCAGAUGGGAUUUCCAGCCCCUGGUUGAGGCGGCGCAGGCGAGGGCCACCCAUCUGGAGCGGGUCCAGCGAGUGACGGAGGCAGCAGAUGUGACACACGCAUCACCCCUGAGACUUGCUCAUCAACAGCCACACAUGCAGAGCACCACCCCAAGUGCGAACGUGCUAAUUGCCCAGGCCACACACGCAGACAGCCCCGAGAGGAGCAUGGAGGCUCCCUCAAGCUUUGGCCCCAAACAUGGCCAUGAAGAAUCCCAUCUACCUACACAGGACCCCAUUACUGUGACUCCACUGGACUUGUUACGUAGACUGCAAACACUCCCAACCAGAAGUGAUGACAGCCAAACAAAUGUAACAUACAGUCUGGCUUUUCCUAGCACUGGAGAAACGCCAAGUUUUACACCCUCUCCUUCCACCAAAGCCCGUCCAUCUGAGCUGCCAAUCAGAAAACGGAGGCCAGUGUGUCCAUACCCUCCUCUGCCCGCCCACGGAACCUUCUAUUUCCGUACGAUAGAGAAGCCGGCCCCGCUGCAGUACAAGCAUUACAUUCAGUAUGCUUGUUACCCUGGUUACACGCUGGCCAAUGGGGACGUUUACAGCUACUGCCAACAGAACGGUACAUGGAGUGGCAUCACACCAGCAUGCCUGGAGGUCACGCCCUGCUCCCUGAAUAACGGCGGCUGCUCUCAGGUCUGCAGCGCGGGGCCGCCGGGGCCGCACCACCGGGCCCAGUGCCAGUGCAAACAGGGCUUCAUGCUGCUGGAGGACCUGCGCACCUGCAGAGUUGGGGGGUGA